rnacentral:rRNA from 1 species
UCGAGAAUCUUCGGCAAUGGACGCAAGUCUGACCGAGCGAUGCCGCGUGCGGGAUGAAGGCCCUCGGGUUGUAAACCGCUGUCAGUUGGGAGGAAAUUUCAUGGGGUUCUCUCCAUGGAUUGACCAAUCUUCAGAGGAAGGACGGGCUAAGUUCGUGCCAGCAGCCGCGGUAACACGAACCGUCCAAACGUUAUUCGGUAUCACUGGGCUUAAAGCGUGCGUAGGCGGCUUGGUAGGUGAGAUGUGAAAGCCCACGGCUCAACCGUGGAAUUGCGUUUCAAACCCUCAAGCUAGAGGAAGAUAGGGGUGAUGGGAACUUAUGGUGGAGCGGUGAAAUGCGUUGAUAUCAUAGGGAACACCGGUGGCGAAAGCGCAUCACUGGAUCUUUUCUGACGCUGAGGCACGAAAGCUAGGGUAGCGAACGGGAUUAGAUACCCCUGUAGUCC